CUUCCCAAGACUUGGACCAGCUUUGACCCAAAUAUUCUCCCGAUAUUUUGGCUCCUUCCCAAGAUAGCUCCCUCAUCUAGCUAGCUCUAAGAUAGUUCCCUCUCCCGAUAUUUUCGCUCCUUCCCAAGAUAGCUCCCUCAUCCAGCUAGCUCCCUCCUUCUCUCUCUCCUUCUCUCUCCUACUCUCUCUCUCUCUAUCUUAGCCUCCUUCUCUCUCCCCAUUAUUUAUUCUCUCUCUCUUUUUCACAGGACGGUGGCCUCGGGUCGGAAAGCGGCGGCAGCGGCGGCCGACGGAGG
rnacentral:lncRNA from 1 species